rnacentral:lncRNA from 1 species
GCCUUUAUCUACAUGUCUGUACAAAAUUUUCUCGUUAACCAAAAUACGUAAGAAACUGUCAUCUGUCAAGUCUAUAAAUAUAAGAACCAGAUGCUCCGCAGAGGUUGAACCCUGAACGGUUGGGGCAAGUAUGGACACAACAUUCAAGCUGGAUUCAGCUCUAAAUUUGAAUUGUGAUUAAAUAGUUGACACAGCAUAGGUUUCUUACACAGAAUGAAUGUGGUCGAAUGAACUUAAAAUAUUUUUUUUGCCUUUGAGCAAUUCACAAUGCAGUUGAAUAUUAAUCCUCUCAAAAAAAUGUUUGAAGAAAUUUUCUUUUUUUUUUUUAUGAAAUCUGAAAU